GGGGGCGUAGCUCAGUUGGUUAGAGCGCCGGCCUGUCACGCCGGAGGCCGCGGGUUCGAGCCCCGUCGCUCCCGCCA
rnacentral:tRNA from 2 species